UCAAACAGAAAAUGCCCCAGACAUGCACAGGCCAAUCGGAUGGAGGCAAAUCUUUAACUGAGGUUCUGUCUUCCUAGGUGUCGAUAGUUAAUGUCAAGUUGAUUAAAAACUAACCAGCAUAUUAUUUUGUGCUAAUCACUUCCACAUUUGUAAUUGCUUCAAAGUCCUCAAAUUGGAUUAGUUUAUUGUAUCUCAAUUAAACUGAAAGCCCAUGUGUAGGAUAGAUUUCAGAAAUAAUAGGAUCUUCUAUCCAGUGUGUUACAAAGCCUAGUUCCUGCCGUCACUCUGCUCUGUAAUCUUGUUAGUUUUAUAAUCCAGCGUUCAUAUGAGAGCAUACGGAGAUCCCUGCUCUCCCCCUUGCCGGAUCACGAGGGUUCCAACUUCAGGUUUAAGGAGUAUUCACGACUUCUCUUGGCUCUGGAGCACACACCCUGCAUUAGACUCGAGAAGGUCUGUCUCUUUCAUCUGCAUAGAUCUGCAGUUAAAAUGCACCUCUUCCAAGAAGGAAAUUGACGCCGGCCCUUCAGAGGAAGCAGCGAGCUCAAAGAGCGAGUAACUAGAAGGUGGAAGCGUGUCUGCUUUCUUUUUUGAAAAGUCUUCCCGGGGCUAGCACCCGGAGCUAGCAACGGAGCUCACCAACGCGUCACGUGUGUGCAGCAGCUGCGGGAUUGGAGGAGCGCAUUUUAGCGCUGCGGUCUAGGCACGGGCGGUCCCGCCCAGCUGCCAGACGAGCGGGGUAGCGGAGAGAAGAAGCCACCAGAAGACCGUGGAGGGGAGGGGCGGGAGGGGGGUGGGGCAGCCUUAGCCACCCACGGCCUGGAGCCUGGGAACACAAGAGGCGACGCCAGGCUCUCCGCCUCAUCACAACUUGCCCAGACAAGACACGCUGUAUCUUGCACCCUGGAAGAAGGAGCCGGCCUGCCUCUCCCUGCUCGGUCGCCCCGCCUCUGCGCCAGCAGCAAUCCCGGGAUCUGGGGCCCUGGUGACGCCCCGUGGCUUGGAGCGCCCGGCUUUCGCCCAGGAGCGCGCAGCUGGGGUACUGGAAAUAGAGCGGUGAGCAACACACCUCUCCUGUUCCCGCUGUUCCCGCCAGCCCAGUGGAUGGAGCCCAGAAUCCACACUCCUGCCAGGAAAGAAAAAAAAAUUCCUGAUGGUUGGUCCAAGCAGGGCCUCCCUGGUGGAUUGAGGAAUGCCUGGCUUUUCCUCAGCUCCUUGAUCUCCGAGGUAACCACUGGCAGCCUCCAGAAGACCCCCACGAUGAGAGGCCUGGGGUCUGCAGGUCACUGCUAGAAUAUUUUAAAGAAUGCAGCACGACACAGAUUUGUAAGGUAAAUACUGUAGUCCAGGUAGUUACCUUGGUAGAACACUGACGGUUGGAAUUCCCAUCCAUUUUUCACUUCAGCAUUUUGAGAAAUGCUUUCGGAAUGACGGACUGUUGCAUAUAUUGGGCUAGUUGUUUGAUCUGUAUUUUGACAAGACGUCGAAGUUAAGCUGCCAAUCCACAGAGGAGGAACAGCCCCUUUAAAACAGUAUGCUGAAAGAAAGACUAGUUUUUAAAGGGCCGAUAAGUUUAACUCUACUGUGGUGUAACAUAAAAUACACACUCUUAAUUUUAAACGUACAAUUCCGCUAAAAUUGGCAAACAUAUGUAUAUAUCUAGAUAAUUAACACCGUAGUCAGCAUGCAGAACGUGCUGCCCCAGAUUUUUCUCCUGUCCUUAGGCUCUCAGUUAACUUUAUACUUCUGUUGCUACACGUUUCCCAGAAGUGUGGAACAGAUAAAGACGAAUGUGUAUUUCUAAUCUCAAACCCUAACGCUGGCAAAGGGAUAGAUAGCUAGAAGACCACGGCUAGGACUGAAGAUUCUGGAGACAUGACCCCACGCAUGUUUCCGAGGCUUCCCAGGACCUGUCCUUUGAGACG
ensembl:lincRNA